UUUCAUAGUAAAUAUUAUAGAAUUAACUUAUUUUUAUCUAUUUUUACUUAUUUCUACUUAUUUAUACAUAUAAAUAAUGCCUUACAUGCAUAUAUUAGUAACAUUACCUCGUCUUCUAAGGAUGAGUUCCAUGAAGAGCAGUCAUCAUAUGUUGAGGAAAUCUAUGAUGCUACGAAUUAUAUUUGCUACAUACUGUGAUCUUUGUUUUCUUCGAAAAUAAUUCAUAAGGCCUCUCAACCAUCGAUAAUAUUUCAUACUAGGAUGGAAAGACCACCUAGUUAUUUGAUCAUUAUUGAAGCCUUCAUAACUUCUUUUGAAUAAAAUAUUUGGAACACCAUCAAAAGUUGUUCUUACUUCUAAUAAAAU
rnacentral:lncRNA from 1 species